rnacentral:rRNA from 1 species
GACGUAGGAGGCGAGCGUUAUCCGGAUUCAUUGGGCGUAAAGGGCAAGUAGGCGGUUGUCAAAGUUGGGCGUGACAUCUCCUGGCUCAACUAGGAGAGGUCGUUCAAAACUAGGCAACUAGAGGGCAGAAGAGGAAAGCGGAACUCCUGAUGUAGCGGUGGAAUGCUCAGAUAUCAGGAAGAACACCAGUGGCGAAGGCGGCUUUCUGGUCUGCACCUGACGCUGAGAGGCGAAGGCCAGGGUAGCGAACGGGCUUAGAUACCCCGGUAGUCCUGGCAGUAAACGGUGGAUACUAGGUAUCAGGGGUCAAGGCCUUUGGUGCCGAAGCCAACGCGUUAAGUAUCCCGCCUGGGGACUACGGCCGCAAGGUUAAAACUCAAAGGAAUUGACGGGGACCCGCACAAGCAGCGGAGCGUGUGGUUUAAUUCGAUGCAACACGAAGAACCUCACCUGGGUUUGACAUAUACGUAGUAGGGAACCGAAAGGGGACCGACGCUUCGGCGAGCGUAUACAGGUGCUGCAUGGCU